AGAGCCGCCACUAGGUGGCGGUGGAUACACACUUCUGAGGAGGUACGCACCUGCGAGACUAGGCAACCGCGGUCUCUGAAGGUUCUGCGUCUUUGGAGGGUAUCUGUAUUGAUUAUGUUUGUGCUCAGCUGUGAGGAGCAGAGAGAAAAAAUAGAGGAAGAAGCUACUGAGGUUUCAUGAGGAGAACCCUGAGAAGACACUCACCUUAUGGAGAAGCUUCACUGCCAUCUCUAAUGCUCUUCAGAGCUCAGCCAAGGAUAACUCCAUCUGCCCAGGGGCUGGAGCAACUUGCUGCUGUCUCCAUUCAUGGUGAAGAAGGAAACUGAUCUCAGGGAGAUGCUUAUGAAAAAUUCCAGAAGUGACAGUGCUGUGGGAGCUGAGGGUCUCUGUCUCUCUCUCCUUCCAUCCCGCCUCCAUCUUUCCCAAGGGAGUUCAGUCACUGAGGGGAUCUUGCUCCUAAUCUGUGGACUCUCCAGAACACGAUGGAAAAGUUCAACACCUACAUGCGACUCCACUCUCUGGUAUUGUCUCAGGUUUCCUCUCUUCUGAACACAUGUGCAUCUGUAUGCAUUCAAGCAAGAUUCUUUUGGCCUUUUAUGUAUGGCAUGUCUCUGAUUACCAGCUGGGCACUUCAAAGUGGGGAGAACAUAAGGACAGCCUAAUGUAGGCAGUUAUAUUUACAACCUGGAACAACUGACAAAAUGUAAAUUGGAAAUCUGCUUGGUGCUGGAGUGAGACAGGAAAUGUGAGACUUACAAAACAUUCAUCUGGAUUUUAGAUUUCAUUUUAUGUAUACCUGUUAAAUCUCAGAACGUCAAAUGGUGGAGCAGGGUAUAAAAUGGGAAUAAUCUCCCUUCCAGUUCCUCAAAUUGCCCAAACCCAACCAGAUUGCCAUAUAAUCUCAGAGAUACUUUCUAAGCAGAUAUCUGCAUAGUGGUUUAACGAUAAUGCUGUGAAAAUUCAUUUUACCCUCUUUCUCUCUCAUUUGACAAUAUAUAUAAGAUACCUUCCUUUAUCAAAACAUAUAGUUGCAUAGUAAUACAUUAUAAGGUACUCGUUUCUUAUUAGUUUUCCCCUCUAUUGAUCAAUUUUGGUGUUUUUUUCCCUCUUACUAUGAAAAAUGAUGCUAUGAAUAUUCUUAGAUAUUCAUGUCAUUUCUAUUUCUGUUAUAAAUUCCUAGAGUUGGAAUUUUCUGCUUUUAAGGUAGACGUAUUGAUGCUAGUGCUUUUUAUUGGCAUCAAAUUAUACUCCAAAGAUUUUGGAUUCAUUCGCAUAGGUACUAUGACUGUAUAGUCAUGUGUCACUUAAUGAUGGAGAUAAAUUCUGUGAAAUGCAUCAGUAGGCAGUUUGAUCAUUGUAUGAACAUCAUAGAGCAUACUCACACAAACCUAGGUGGUAUAGGCUGUUACACGCCUAGGUCAUAUUGUAUAGUCUAUUGCUCCUAGACUACAAACCUAUACAGCAUGUUACUAUACUGAAUCCUAAAGGCAAUUGUGACACAAUGGUAAGUAUUCGUGUGUCUAAACCUAUCUAAACAUAGAAAUGGUACAGUAAGAAUACUGUACAAAAGAUAAAGAAUGAUAAGCCUGUAUAGAGCACUUACCAUGAAUGGAGCUUGCAGGACUGGAAGUUGCUCCGGGUAGGUCAGUGAGUGAGUGGUGAGUGACUGUGAAGGCCUGGGACAUUAUUGUACACUACUGCAGACUCUGUAAGCCCUGAAUCAGUGUGCAGUAUACAGUUAUACUGUAUAAGGCUACAUUAAUUUUACACAAAAACACUUUUCUUUCUUCGUUGAUAAAUUAACCUUAGCUUGCUGUAAUUUGUUUCCAUCAUAGACUCUUUAAUUUUUUUAAACUUUUUUGACUCCUUAUAAUGAAACUUAGCUUAAAACACAAAUACAAUGUAUAGCCAUACAACAAUAUUCUUUUUCUUUAUAUGCUUAUUCUAUAAGCUAUUUUCUGUUGUUAAUUGUUUGUUAUAAGCUUUUUCUUAGAGACUAAGACACAAACAUAUACAUUAGCCUAGGCUUACACAGUGUCAGGAUCAUCCAUACCACUGUCUUCGAUUUCCACAUCUUGUGCUACUGGAAAGUCUUCAGGGCUGCUAGCAUGCAUGGAGCUGUCCUAUUCUGUAACAACAAUGCCUUCUUCUGGAAUACCUCCUGAAUGACCCGCCUGAGGCUCUCCUUGAGGUAUCAUUCUUUUCAGAAAAAUGUCCAUGGUGGUUUCCUUUAUUGAUCAUUGAUUUCCUUGUAAGCAGAUCAUGCACAAUGAAUAUUCCUCUUUAUUCAUGAAAGCCUUUCAGCGUUGGGAUCCACUUUUUCAAACUUUCUGAGGGGCUUGUUGAGGUCUGUAAAAGCUUUUGCUAAACUAGUCACUAUGAAUUUUCUUAAGGGUUCUUCUUUUUCUUCUGCAGUUUCUUUUUCUCUUUUCUUGUCUUCAGUUAUGAAUUCCUGUCCCAGUUCCCCAAACUCCUCAUUAGUAAAUUCCUCAGGAGACACAUCUAGGAGCUCUUAAAUGUCACCCUUAUCUACCUUUAUGUUAAAGUUGUUUGCUAUCUCAACCCCAGUCUUGCUGAUGUUUACAACCUCCUCAUCUUUGGCAAAUCCUUCGAAGUCAUGGAUGAACCUCUUGAGUGUCUUCAUCCAGAGGCUGCUCAUAUCCUCCUUCGUGACAUCACCCCAAGCCCAAGCAAGGCUCUUGAUGCAAUCAGAGAUAUUGUAAUCCUUCCAAAAUAGCGUCAGUGUCUCCCUCAGUUGCAGCAAUUACUUAAGCAAAGUUCCUCCUCCAGUAGUACGCCUUAAAAGCUGCUAUAACUCCUCAAUCCAUUGGUUGGAUCAAAGAGGUGGUGUUUGCAUGUUUGAUAUUGGGAUGAAGAUCACCAUAAAAGAGAGAUGUCCAGGAGCGUUAUCAACAAAAAGCACUUGAAUCUUUAAACAUAUGCUAUUCUUCAAACACUACUUCUCCAUUUUGCUGGCAUAGCCUUUCAGGAGGGCACCUUGGAAGAGGAGCUGAGUCAUCCAUGAACUCUUGCUCCUGUAGUACACUGAUGGUAUGUGAUUAUUGAUAUGCUUGAAGGCCUUGGGGUUCUCCCUGGGCCAUAUCAUAAAAAGCUUCAAUUUGUAGCCCCCAACACUGCCUCCAAGCAAGACUGCUAUCCUGUCCUUAAAAGCUUUGAAAUCUGGCAAUGACUUGGCCUCCUUUUGGAUGAAAGUUUUUUCAUCCAUUUCCAGAAUAGGGAGGUUUCAUCCAUAUUGAAUAUUUUCUCUGGCAAGUAAUUUUCCUCAACAUUCAGCUUACCUAGACUUUCCAAAAAUUCUUCAGCUACCUGCACAUCAGCACUCACAGACUUGCCACUGACUUUCACAUUGUAUAAUGACCAACCAUUCUUGAAUCAUUUAAUCCAUCCACAGCUAGUAGUAAAUUCAACAUCAUAGACUGGGCCAGUAUUUUCUUUCAACAUCACAAGCAAACUUUUUGUUAUAGCUGUAGUCAUCAAGGUGCCUAGAGGGAUUACAUUUCUGUGUCUGGUUUUCAAUACAGAUCAUUAGAAUUUUCUCCAUUUCUGAUAGACCCUUCUUGGAUUUUUGUAAAUCUCACUGCCUUCAAUCAAGCAGACUCUCUAACAGCUUUCCUCACUUUGUUCUGGUUCUUCAAGAUCAUAGCUAUGGAGGAAUGGCACAUGCCUGGCUGGCAACUGGUGAUCAUUCACUGAUCUCCUAUGUCAUAGUCUGUAAUAAUUUUUAAUUCCAUUUCCAGGUAAAUCAUUUGACAUGGUCUCUUACUGGCAAUAAUAACAGUGGAUUUUGUACACUUAGGGGCCAUAAUGAACAAAACAAUGCAAGAUUAAAUCAAGCACAGGAGACAAUGAUGCAAUCAAGAGAUACAGUAAACAUGAGAUGUUUGAGGCUUCUGCUGGGCUAUAUGGUGUGCUGUUUUACAGUAAUUUUUUGCAAGUAUA